AGCGAACGCUGGCGGCAGGCUUAACACAUGCAAGUCGAGCGGGCACUUCGGUGUCAGCGGCAGACGGGUGAGUAACACGUGGGAACGUACCCUUUGGUUCGGAAUAAAGCUGGGAAACUAGCGCUAAUACCGGAUACGCCCUUUUGGGGAAAGGCUUGCUGCCGAAGGAUCGGCCCGCGUCUGAUUAGCUAGUUGGUGGGGUAAUGGCCUACCAAGGCGACGAUCAGUAGCUGGUCUGAGAGGAUGAUCAGCCACACUGGGACUGAGACACGGCCCAGACUCCUACGGGAGGCAGCAGUGGGGAAUAUUGGACAAUGGGCGCAAGCCUGAUCCAGCCAUGCCGCGUGAGUGAUGAAGGCCUUAGGGUUGUAAAGCUCUUUUGUCCGGGACGAUAAUGACGGUACCGGAAGAAUAAGCCCCGGCUAACUUCGUG
rnacentral:rRNA from 1 species